GGAGAUCUUUUCAGAAAAUCCUUGUCUGUGCCUGUAUCUUGAAAGGCUUUGGUUUUGUUUUCUUCUAGCAGUUUCAAAGUUUUAGGUCUCAUAUGGAGGUCUCAUAUGGAUAGUCUGAAGUGGUUUUUGUGCAAGCUAAGAACAGCAUUAUCCACUCUCCAUACGUAAAGGUACAGGGUCCGAAGUGCCGCGCACAUCUCGCAAAGCCUCGUAGCUGCAAGUGUGCCUUCCACACUCCCCUGAGCUCGUUGAUCUCCUUUGUAAGAUUCCGGAGGGCUAGGAAGAUGUCCCAGUGGGUGAGAUAUUGGAUGUGGAAGCAAAUUCGAAGAUGUCGGCUUAGAUCCCAGCACUCACGGAGAAAGCCACGUGUGGAGGACGCUCGGUAUUGCAGUUAAACCAGAUCAGCGUUUGUUCUCAGGUUCAUUUGCCGUAGUAAGGCCAACCUCGAUUGCAGAUUCUAUCAUCUUCUACUACAAUAUUAUGGACUCCCAGAACUACAAAGUCUAUUGAUCUCCAAAUCUCAGAGGACCUGAUAUGAAUACCUUGGAAGACCAACCACACUGCUCGAGGCUAAGACACUGACAUCUGUCUGAUAAAUGAAUGCCUUCUCUUCUAUACAACUUAGUUCUUCAUCUGUACUAUUAGUUCUUCAAGAUCGGAACCUGAAUGUGAUUUUCCUUGCAAGCACACUAGUAGCUGAAUAACUACCUGGCAUGAGGGAAACCAAAAAUGUAAGUAUGACUUGCUCGAGCUAUCCAAAUUGUGGGGCUGAGGUGGGAGAAAACUUUGCAUCCCAAUAUUGGUAAAGGCUGAGUCAAGUUCCAUGAAAAAUGGUUGCUAUCACUCUGAGAGUUUCUUGCUGCUGCAGUGCUGCUAGUCUUAGUUAGGGCUUCCAUUCCUUGAAGAGACACUAUGACCAAGGCAACUCUUAUAAAGGCAAACAUUUAAUUGGGGCUGGCUUACAGUUUCAGAGAUUCAGUCCAUUGUCAUCAUAGGAAGCAUGACAGCGUGCAGUCAACAGAAGCAUGAUGGGGAAGGAGCUAAGAGUUCUGCAUCUUGC
ensembl:lncRNA LOC108352070 uncharacterized LOC108352070